rnacentral:lncRNA from 1 species
AAGAGUUAGUGUCGGUCAAUACAACACAACUCCAACAACAAAACCCAAGAGAGUUAGUGUCGGUCAAUACAACACAACUCGAAUAACAAGACCCAAGAGUUAGUGUCGGUCAAUACAACACAACUCGAAUAACAAGAGUACUAGAGUACUCGGUGACUUUCAAUCAUCACCGUAGCUCACCUCAGUGGCUUUCCCCAAUUCCAAAACCCA